UCUCCUGGAAACGGAUGGUAAUGCCGGAUGCUCCAGUUGAUCGCAUGGUCUUCUGGGAAAGCUUUCGCGGUAUGGGAUGGGGUCGCGUCCUAUCAGCUUGACGGCGGGGUAACGGCCCACCGUGGCUUCGACGGGUAGCCGGCCUGAGAGGGCGACCGGCCACAUUGGGACUGAGAUACGGCCCAGACUCCUACGGGAGGCAGCAGUGGGGAAUAUUGCACAAUGGGCGCAAGCCUGAUGCAGCGACGCCGCGUGAGGGAUGGAGGCCUUCGGGUUGUAAACCUCUUUUAUCGGGGAGCAAGCGAGAGUGAGUUUACCCGUUGAAUAAGCACCGGCUAACUACGUGCCAGCAGCCGCGGUAAUACGUAGGGUGCAAGCGUUAUCCGGAAUUAUUGGGCGUAAAGGGCUCGUAGGCGGUUCGUCGCGUCCGGUGUGAAAGUCCAUCGCUUAACGGUGGAUCCGCGCCGGGUACGGGCGGGCUUGAGUGCGGUAGGGGAGACUGGAAUUCCCGGUGUAACGGUGGAAUGUGUAGAUAUCGGGAAGGAACACCAA
rnacentral:rRNA from 1 species